UGAGCCUGCAGGGAAGUCUGAGGCCACAGCUCAGAGACACCUCUCAGCCUACUGGUGGCCGUCAGAGGGAAGGUGGGUGAGAGCCCAGGGCAGAGCGUGUUAUCCCAUUGCUGUGACCUGAAUGCUUGUAUUCCUCUCCCUCGCCACCCCUUCCCAUUCACAUGUUGAAAACUGAGGCCUAACGUGAUGGUGUUUGAAGUGAAACCUUUGGGAGGUGAUUCGUCAUGAGGACAGAGCCCCGUCGAAGGAUUCGUGCCCUUGUAAAGGAGGCUCCAGAGAGACCCUCCUGCCGUGUACGUGCAGAGGACGGCCAUGUCUGAAUCAGGGGGCCAGCCAGCCGCCAGAACCGGGAGAAGUCAAUUGCUGUCAUCCGUUGAUCCUUAGAGCAACUUGACAAGGAGGAGGUGAAGCCCCAUUGUCUUAUUCUGCUGUAACAAAACUGCCCAGACCUGGUGGCUUACAAAUAGUAGAAACUUAUCUUGCUCAGGAUUCUGGAAUCUGGAAGUCCAAGGUCACUGGAAGGCGUUUUCAAGAGUAAGUAACAACCUGUGAAGUGUCACUGUCAGCGGCCACAGCAGCUGCCUGAGAGCAGCGGGAAGAGAAGACGAAACCAGUGGCUGCAGAUCUCCAUCCCCGCCCCAGCGGCCUCAGUGUGGCUAAGGAGUGCAGAUCCUGCAUUUCUCAGAAGGCCGCCUUAACUUCAUUCUCUUCUGACACAUACUUAAGGUAAGAACACUGAGGCCCACAAAGAUGAUAUGGGCAUAUUCACAAAGCUAGUAAGUGGAGGAAGAAGAAUUUUCAUCUGUACAAUGUGAGCUGGAACUCGUUUAGGCUGAAGCUCAUACAUUCCAGCUGGUUGUUUGGGCUCUGUUGGACAUAACCUAAGUCUGGAUGGCAGGGUGAAAAUUGGAUAAACAGUCACACUGACUCCAGGGAGAUUCUUUUUUAUACAAACAUCUGUUUCUUGAAUUUGGCCAAGGGAGUAUAAAGCCUGUGUCCCUCCAACAUCACAGAGAGAGGGAACGCCUUCCAAGUUUCCUCUGCUACUGGGUUUAUGCCCAGUUCUAGUCCAGCUUUUUCUCCAGUCGUGCUGAACUCUCAGGCCCACAGGACCUGUGGGUGUCUGCCACAUGUUCCUGCCUCUGCUCAUGCAGUUUCUCUGUGCAGAAAACUUUCCCUGAAUUUCUGGAGGAUGCUGAUGGAUGCUGUUGCUGCCUCUGCUCCGCUGCACACCGCCACAC